rnacentral:snRNA from 1 species
AUACUUCAGACAGACAGCAUAUACACNAAAACUGAAGCAAUGCAGAGAUUAGCCUGGCCCCUGUGCAAGGAUGACAUAGAAAUUCAUAAAAUUCAUAAAACNUUA